CCUACGGGAGGCAGCAGUGGGGAAUAUUGGACAAUGGGGGCAACCCUGAUCCAGCCAUGCCGCGUGUGUGAAGAAGGCCCUCGGGUUGUAAAGCACUUUCAGUGAGGAAGAACGCCUGGUGGUUAAUACCCAUCAGGAAAGACAUCAUUCACAGAAGAAGCACCGGCUAACUCCGUGCCAGCAGCCGCGGUAAUACGGAGGGUGCGAGCGUUAAUCGGAAUUACUGGGCGUAAAGCGCGCGUAGGUGGCUUGAUAAGCCGGUUGUGAAAGCCCCGGGCUCAACCUGGGAACGGCAUCCGGAACUGUCAAGCUAGAGUGCAGGAGAGGAAGGUAGAAUUCCCGGUGUAGCGGUGAAAUGCGUAGAGAUCGGGAGGAAUACCAGUGGCGAAGGCGGCCUUCUGGACUGACACUGACACUGAGGUGCGAAAGCGUGGGUAGCAAACAGGAUUAGAUACCCGGGUAGUC
rnacentral:rRNA from 1 species